UACGGGGGGAGCAAGCGUUGUUCGGAUUCAUUGGGCGUAAAGGGCGCGUAGGCGGCCUGCUAAGUCGAACGUGAAAUCCCCGGGCUCAACCCGGGAACUGCGUCCGAUACUGGAAGGCUUGAAUCCGGGAGAGGGAUGCGGAAUUCCAGGUGUAGCGGUGAAAUGCGUAGAUAUCUGGAGGAACACCGGUGGCGAAGGCGGCAUCCUGGACCGGCAUUGACGCUGAGGCGCGAAAGCCAGGGGAGCAAACGGG
rnacentral:rRNA from 1 species